ensembl:lncRNA
GUGGAGGCUAUAUACAGGGUGUUAUGGUACAGAGUCAAUGUGGAGGCUAUAUACAGGGUGUUACGGUACAGAGUCAAUGUGGAGGCUAUAUACAGGGUAUUACGGUACUGAGUCAAUGUGGAGGCUAUAUACAGGGUAUUACGGUACAGAGUCAAUGUGGAGGCUAUAUACAGGGUAUUACGGUACAGAGUCAAUGUGGAGGCUAUAUACAGGGUAUUACGGUACAGAGUCAAUGUGGAGGCUAUAUACAGGGGGUACUGGUACAGAGUCAAUGUGGAGGCUAUAUACAGGGGGUACCGGUACAGAGUCAAUGUGGAGGCUAUAUACAGGGGGUACCGGUACAGAGUCAAGGUGGAGGCUAUAUACAGGGGGUACCGGUACAGAGUAAAUGUGGAGGCUAUAUACAGGGGGUACCGGUACAGAGUAAAUAUGGAGACUAU